GCAAACUUGGUCAUUUAGAGGAAGUAAAAGUCGUAACAAGGUUUCCGUAGGUGAACCUGCGGAAGGAUCAUUAAAGAGGUUUGAAUUCUUUGGAGUUCAUCUUCCCAUCCUGUGAUUAUACCACAAUUUUGUUUCUUGGUUGGCACUGAGUUUUCGGGCUCAGGUAAGACCGGCCAAACUACCAAAUUCUUUUUAAUUAUGAAAUGUCUAAACCUUUUAUUUUUAAAAUAAAACAAAACUUUCAACAACGGAUCUCUUGGUUCUGGCAUCGAUGAAGAACGCAGC
rnacentral:misc_RNA from 1 species